UGUCUGGCAGUUCCCUACUCUCGCAUGGGGAGACCCCACACUACCAUCGGCGCUACGGCGUUUCACUUCUGAGUUCGGCAUGGGGUCAGGUGGGACCACCGCGCUAAGGCCGCCA
rnacentral:rRNA from 2 species